AUCGUGUCGUACACUACAACAUGAUGGGAAAUGUAGUUCGCAGGAUUUCAAUAAAUUCUUGGGAAAGCUGUUUCUACUUCCUCUUUACUGCACGAGCCUGAGGAAGACAGGCACUUCUGAUCCACCAUGCCCGUUGCCAGGAGUUGGGUCUGUCGCAAGACAUACGUCACCCCCCGUCGUCCUUUCGAGAAGUCUCGUCUCGACCAGGAGCUCAAGCUUAUUGGGGAGUAUGGUUUGAGGAACAAGCGUGAGGUGUGGAGGGUCAAAUUCACCCUGGCCAAGAUCCGCAAGGCCGCCAGAGAGCUGCUCACUCUGGACGAGAAGGACCCCAAGCGUCUGUUUGAAGGUAAUGCCCUUCUGAGGCGUCUGGUGAGGAUUGGUGUGCUGGAUGAGGGCAAGAUGAAGCUCGAUUACAUCCUGGGCCUGAAAGUCGAGGACUUCUUGGAGAGGAGGCUGCAGACACAGGUGUUCAAGCUGGGGCUAGCCAAGAGCAUCCACCACGCCCGCGUGCUGAUCCGCCAGAGGCACAUUCGAGGGCCACCGAGUCUUAUCGCUCCUCGCUGAGCGCGGUUUUAACAUUUCAACAAGGUCAAUUCGGUUUCUUACCGUAUACCUUGUCAGUGAGCUCUGCCCAGAGCCAAUCCUGCCAGCUGAGGGGGCACAUUCUCUGCCACCGUGGCGUGAUGGCUGACAGUGUCCGCAAGCAGGUGGUCAACAUCCCCUCGUUCGUGGUCCGCCUGGACAGCCAGAAGCACAUCGACUUCUCCCUGCGCUCUCCAUAUGGGGGGGGUCGCCCCGGGCGCGUCAAGAGAAAGAAUGCCAAGAAGGGCCAGGGUGGAGCUGGAGGAGCUGAUGA